UUGGAGGGCAAGUCUGGUGCCAGCAGCCGCGGUAAUUCCAGCUCCAAUAGCGUAUAUUAAAGUUGUUGCAGUUAAAAAGCUCGUAGUUGAACCUUGGGCCUGGCUGGCCCGUCCGCCUCACCGCGUGUACUGGUCCGGCCGGGCCUUUCCUUCUGGGGAACCUCAUGCCCUUCACUGGGCGUGUUGGGGAACCAGGACUUUUACUUUGAAAAAAUUAGAGUGUUUAAAGCAGGC
rnacentral:rRNA from 1 species